rnacentral:lncRNA from 1 species
CAGAGUCAGAGUCAAGGAGCAGCAUGGGUGAUGGUGCGAUUCAUGAAGGUGAGCCGGCGGAGGAGGCAGGACAGGAUAAGAAUGGCGAGGGUUUAGGUGGCCCAUCCGUCCUGUAUUAAUUCAUUUCCUCAUUCCUGUAGCACAAUAUCUGACCACAGCAACUGGAGGAAGGGAGGGUUGCUCUAGCUCACGGCUGGAGGGAAGUCCCUCUGGGGGAAGCCCUCAUGGAGGGGACAUGGUGGCAGCUGUGAGGCUGCUCAUCAAAUUUCACCCAUAGUCAGAAGACACAGUGACAGAGGCUUCCACUCAGUUACCUUUUUCCUUUUGUUCAAGCUACGACCCCAGCACUUAGAACAGCACAGAUUAAGGACGGUCUUCCCACCUCAAUUAAUCUAGACUAAGUAUUCUAGAUAAUCUCUUAGAGAGGUGCCCAGAGAUUUGUCCGUAACAGUGAUAUGAAAUCCUAUCAACUUAACAAUCAAAAUAAACCAUCGCAUAGCUAAAUGUUUUGUGAGCACGUAUACAGGUGGGUCAGCCUAUACCCAUCUGUUAUAUCAAAGCCACAGGGACGUGUGGCUUUCCAGAAAAACUCUACUGCCUUCUUGCACCAAUGUUUUGUAUUCCUACAAUGAAAUGCCAGAGGCAGCCGACUCAGUAGAGAGGAGAGGUUUACUCUCGCUCACACUCCUGGCACAUCGAAGGCAUGGUGUGGAUUCAGUUCUCGUGAAGAUCUCAUGGCACGGGGCAGCUGGUGGAGCCUAGAUCACAGAGGGCACCAAGAAGCCGAGAGCUGUUGUAACCUACUCAGGAGUGGUGGGAGACAGCUGUCUUUAUUCCCAACCACACUGGAUUUGAUACACGGAUGGGACACCAAUGAGUGUGUUCUCAGCACUGGCAAGAUCAAAGAAAGAACCAGGAGUUCCAAGUUAUCCUGAACAACAUAACAAGUUUUGAGGUGGGCCUGGGCUGCACAAGACACAAUUGUAAAACAAAAAUAAAAAGAGUAACAAAAAAGUAACA